UCGGCUGUGGUGUAAUUGGCAACACAGAGGUCUUUGGAUCCUCUAUUUCAGGUUCGAGUCCUGGCAGCCGAGCCA
rnacentral:tRNA from 1 species